UGGCCCUACGGGACGCAGCAGUGGGGAAUAUUGCACAAUGGGGGAAACCCUGAUGCAGCGACGCCGCGUGAGCGAGGAAGUACCUCGGUAUGUAAAGCUCUGUCAGCAGGGAAGAAAAUGACAGUACCUGACCAAGAAGCCCCGGCUAACUACGUGCCAGCAGCCGCGGUAAUACGUAGGAUGCGAGCGUUAUCCGGAUUUAUUGGGUUUAAAGGGUGCGCAGGCGGGAGAUCAAGUCAGCGGUAAAAUGUCGGGGCUCAACCCCGGCCGGCCGUUGAAACUGGUUUUCUAGAGUUGGAGAGAAG
rnacentral:rRNA from 1 species